UAGAGCUAUUAGAGCGUUGGAUUCUUCAAUCCCCAGCAGGUUUUCACCACUGUACUUCCCCAAGCGUUUGUUUCAGGACAUACACUCCCCAGUAGAGUUGACAGUGCCAGACUAUAUAUCCCCAGCGGAGUUGACAGUGCCAGACUGUAUCUUUCCAGCAGAAGUGGCUGCUCCUUAGAGUUCGACGCCAGAUCGAUAGUCC
rnacentral:lncRNA from 1 species